GUAGGUGGCAAGCGUUGUCCGGAAUUAUUGGGCGUAAAGCGCGCGCAGGUGGUUCUUUAAGUCUGAUGUGAAAGCCCCCGGGCUCAACCGGGGAGGGUCAUUGGAAACUGGGGAACUUGAGUGCAGGAGAGGAAAGUGGAAUUCCACGUGUAGCGGUGAAAUGCGUAGACAUGUGGAGGAACACCAGUGGCGAAGGCGACUUUCUGGCCUGUAACUGACACUGAGGCGCGAAAGCGUGGGGAGCAAACAGGAUUAGAUACCCUGGUAGUCCACGCCGUAAACGAUGAGUGCUAAGUGUUGGGGGGUUUCCGCCCCUCAGUGCUGCAGCUAACGCAUUAAGCACUCCGCCUGGGGAGUACGGCCGCAAAGACUG
rnacentral:rRNA from 1 species